rnacentral:rRNA from 1 species
GAUGAACGCUAGCGAUAGGCUUAACACAUGCAAGUCGAGGGGCAGCAUGGUCUUAGCUUGCUAAGGCUGAUGGCGACCGGCGCACGGGUGCGUAACGCGUAUGCAACUUGCCUCACAGAGGGGGAUAACCCGUCGAAAGACGGACUAAUACCGCGUACACUCUAUGUUGGGCAUCCAAUGUAGAGGAAAUGAAAUUCGCUGUGAGAUAGGCAUGCGUCCCAUUAGCUAGUUGGUGAGGUAACGGCUCACCAAGGCGACGAUGGGUAGGGGAACUGAGAGGUUGAACCCCCACACUGGUACUGAGACACGGGCCAGACUCCUACGGGAGGCAGCAGUGAGGAAUAUUGGUCAAUGGGCGAGAGCCUGAACCAGCCAAGUCGCGUGAAGGAUGACUGUCUUAUGGAUUGUAAACUUCUUUUAUACGGGAAUAACAAGAGUCACGUGUGGCUCCCUGCAUGUACCGUAUGAAUAAGCAUCGGCUAACUCCGUG